GGAGUGGUGUUGUCGAACAUGCGUGGACCAUACCCGACUUCAGAAGGGGUAAGUUGUCAGGCUCAAAGCAGGGUAUGCGCUCUAUCUCAAGGUGAGGUUGGUGUUAUAGUUUUCUGUCUGUAGUAUAACUAACUCGAUAUAUUAGUUUUUGCAGGAGUGCGCAGUGCAUGCCCAUGAGCAUUGCAUAACUGCUUAACUCAAGCAUUUAUCGUUGUUUAUGUGCGAUGGACAUGAGCUGCUUAAUUUGUGAUGUGUCAUAUGUGUGCCACACACUUGUACGCGUGUAUCUAUGGAACUAAGAUGUUAAAUUGUUAUGAAAAUCUUAUUCCAAAAGGUUUACUUAAACUAAUAAUAUCUAAGCAUAGGGCAGUGCCAGUUUCUGGUAGGUUAACACUAAACUAAACUAAUCGUGUUCGAGGUUGCUGCUUUAUUAAUGCCAAACCAAUCAUAACUUGUUGAUAUAAUGUUGUCUUAACCAGUGGUUGUGCUCAACUUUUUUUUAUUUGUUUGUUGCUUAUGCAUACUCAGUGCUGAAACUUGUAUGUUUCCAGACCCUCUGACUUCCUCGCCAACCGACUAUGCGGUGUGGGUCGCCUCAGGCGGCCCCAGUGUUUUGGUUGUUCCUGGGCUAGCCGUGGCUACACCCCACGAGUGGUUGUGGGCUCGGCUUCAACUACCUCCUCGGCUCAUUGGGGCGGAGGUACUGACGCUCAGCCUUGGCUACAAGUUCUCUGGUUAGUUAUUGGUUAUUAGUUUGUGCAUCUUCCUUGUUCUCAGCUGGUGCCUUUCUCAUCCCACUUCAAUCCGAGGAGUGCAAGGUGGCCCUGGCGGCAUGCAGUUGUGGUGGGUGGUCAUCCUGCUGCUUUUGUGAUGACCACCAAGCUCCGGGCGGUUUGUUUGUGUUCCGAAAAUUCGCACCUGGGCACUGUCAAGUGCCUUCUUUGUGUUAGUGCGUGUGUUGUGAUAUGUAGUGAGCAAUCAAUCCUCUUUUAGUUGAACCUCCUUAUUUUAUUGUUUUGUUGCAAAUGGUAAGAAGAAACCAAUGAAGUGGCAUACUGGUGUAUUGUAAGUUCCUUAUCAGGUUUGUCUUGGAAGCAGUAUGUGUUCGUUGUACUCAGGUGUGUAUCUAUAUUGACUAUGAAGAGGUGUGUAUCUAUAUUGACUAUGAAG